UACGAAGGGGGCUAGCGUUGCUCGGAAUCACUGGGCGUAAAGCGCACGUAGGCGGCUUUCUAAGUCAGGGGUGAAAUCCUGGAGCUCAACUCCAGAACUGCCUUUGAUACUGGAGAGCUUGAGUCCGGAAGAGGUGAGUGGAACUCCGAGUGUAGAGGUGAAAUUCGUAGAUAUUCGGAAGAACACCAGUGGCGAAGGCGGCUCACUGGUCCGGUACUGACGCUGAUGUGCGAAAGCGUGGGGAGCAAAAAGG
rnacentral:rRNA from 1 species